UACAGAGGGUGCGAGCGUUAAUCGGAAUUACUGGGCGUAAAGCGUGCGUAGACGGUCAUGUAAGUCGGGUGUGAAAGCCCCGGGCUCAACCUGGGAAUUGCAUUCGAGACUGCAUGGCUAGGAUGCGGAAGAGGGAAGCGGAAUUUCCGGUGUAGCGGUGAAAUGCGUAGAUAUCAGGAGGAACACCGGUGGUGCAAACGGCUUUCUGGACCGUAGCUGAC
rnacentral:rRNA from 1 species